UUCUGAUAUUAGAAUAGUACUAGCAAUUUUCCUUUUCCCUUUACCUUCUUUUAUUUAUGUAUACCUCUUAAUUUCUCUUACAAGCAACGGAGAUAAACAAGGCUGAUUGGAAUACCCUUUUCAAGCCUUACCCUUUCUUUGAUGCAUACAAGAACUAUCUGGAGAUUGACAUCAUUUUCUAAUCAAUGCAGAAAAUGAUGAUGACCUGAGGAAAUGGAAAGGCUGGUUUGAAUCCCAGCUCUGCCAACUGACAUUGAAGGUGAAAGGGUUUUUGUUCAUUUAAUAAUUAUAUGAUCCUGGACCAAUGGAUAUAUAGCAUCCUUUGCCAAGGUAUGAAUUUUCUAUUUACCAACUUUGAAUGAAGGGGUUGCCAUACUUCCUUUGAUCCCUACAUUUGUUAGAGAACUACCUAAGAUGAAAUUUCUAGCUAUUCGAUAGACAUAAAAGAGAUGAACAUGACAGUGGUCCACACUGAGAGAGAAAAGGCAAAAGAUUGGACUGUUGGCAUUUUCUAAUCUCACACACAUGAUCCGAUAUAUGUGGGAACAUGGAUCUCGAUUCCAUCUUAUGGUUCCCACCAUCAAUUGAACUAAGACCCAGUUGAGUUGGGUCUCUUUUUUUUAUUAGUUAAAAAGUAUGGUGUUGUGAAGUGAAAAUAGUGAUAGGAAAGUGUAAUUGUGUUAGGUUUGUGGAUACACAGUGGAGUAAAAGGGAGACAACACUAGUGCAGUGAGAGGAGCAGAAGUCUUGAAGCUAAUUGCAAUACCUACUUAAAGCUUCAAAAAAUGGGUUCAAUUCCUUGCCCAAAAACAUAUCAGUAUGUAUUCAAUUAUCUUUUGUUGUGCUUCAGUGUUAUAAUCAGGACAAUCUACGUUGGAUCAUUGAUGAUGGUUUUGUA